rnacentral:rRNA from 1 species
UACGUAGGGUGCGAGCGUUAAUCGGAAUUACUGGGCGUAAAGCGUGCGCAGGCGGUUUCGUUUAAGUUCGUUGUGAAAGCCCGGGCUCAACCUGGGAACUGCAAUGGAAACUGGCGGGCUUGAGUGUGGCAGAGGGGUGGAAUUCCGCGUGUAGCAGUGAAAUGCGUAGAGAUGCGGAGGAACACCGAUGGCGAAGGCAGCCCCCUGGGGCCAACACUGACGCUCAGGCACGAAA